GGGCCUAAUGGUUAAGGCAUCCGAUUUCGGUAUGGAAUCCAUAUCUCGGAAGAUUGGGAGUUCGAAUCUUCCCGGGGUCG